GUUUCCCAUUGCGUCUUCCUCUCCAUAAGGAAAACAAAAAAGAUAUAUUGGAAUUCCGGGCCCUUCUGCUGGAUUCCAUCAUCUUGAAACUUGAGUCAGGUAUAGACACUCCACCUGCCAACUGCUGUGGCAGAGCAGGUAACUGA
rnacentral:lncRNA from 1 species